AUUGAACGCUGGCGGCAUGCCUUACACAUGCAAGUCGAACGGUAACGGGCCUUCGGGUGCCGACGAGUGGCGAACGGGUGAGUAAUACAUCGGAACGUGCCCGAUCGUGGGGGAUAACGAGGCGAAAGCUUUGCUAAUACCGCAUACGAUCUACGGAUGAAAGCAGGGGACCGCAAGGCCUUGCGCGGACGGUGCGGCCGAUGGCGGAUUAGGUAGUUGGUGGGAUAAAAGCUUACCAAGCCGACGAUCUGUAGCUGGUCUGAGAGGAUGAUCAGCCACACUGGGACUGAGACACGGCCCAGACUCCUACGGGAGGCAGCAGUGGGGAAUUUUGGACAAUGGGCGCAAGCCUGAUCCAGCCAUGCCGCGUGCAGGAUGAAGGCCUUCGGGUUGUAAACUGCUUUUGUACGGAACGAAAAGCCUUCUUUUAAUACAGGAGGGUCAUGACGGUACCGUAAGAAUAAGCACCGGCUAACUACGUG
rnacentral:rRNA from 1 species